UACAGAGGGUGCAAGCGUUAAUCGGAAUUACUGGGCGUAAAGCGCACGUAGGUGGCUCGAUAAGUUGGGUGUGAAAUCCCCGGGCUUAACCUGGGAAUUGCAUUCAAGACUGUCUUGCUAGAGUGUGGAAGAGGGAAGCGGAAUUCCAGGUGUAGCGGUGAAAUGCGUAGAUAUCUGGAGGAACAUCAGUGGCGAAGGCGGCUUCCUGGUCCAACACUGACACUGAGGUGCGAAAGCGUGGGGAGCAAACAGG
rnacentral:rRNA from 1 species